rnacentral:snRNA from 1 species
UGCUCCCUUCAGCAGUACAUAUACUAAAAUAGGAAUGAUAAAGAGAAGAUUAUCAUGGACCUGUGCAAGGAUGAUACACAAAUUCGUGAAGUGUUUCAUAUUUUU